GACGAACGCUGGCGGCGUGCUUAACACAUGCAAGUCGAACGGAAAGGCCCUGCUUUUGUGGGGUGCUCGAGUGGCGAACGGGUGAGUAACACGUGAGUAACCUGCCCUUGACUUUGAGAUAACUUCAGGAAACUGGGGCUAAUACCGGAUAGGAGCUCCUGCUGCAUGGUGGGGGUUGGAAAGUUUCGGCGGUUGGGGAUGGACUCGCGGCUUAUCAGCUUGUUGGUGGGGUAGUGGCUUACCAAGGCUUUGACGGGUAGCCGGCCUGAGAGGGUGGCCGGCCACAUUGGGACUGAGAUACGGCCCAGACUCCUACGGGAGGCAGCAGUGGGGAAUAUUGCACAAUGGGCGGAAGCCUGAUGCAGCAACGCCGCGUGCGGGAUGACGGCCUUCGGGUUGUAAACCGCUUUCGCCUGUGACGAAGCGUGAGUGACGGUAAUGGGUAAAGAAGCACCGGCUAACUACGUG
rnacentral:rRNA from 1 species